rnacentral:rRNA from 1 species
GCGAACGGGUGAGUAAUGCAUCGGAACGUGCCCAGUAGUGGGGGAUAACGCGUCGAAAGAUGUGCUAAUACCGCAUACGCACUACGGUGGAAAGCGGGGGACCGCAAGGCCUCGCGCUAUUGGAGCGGCCGAUGUCCGAUUAGCUAGUUGGUGGGGUAAUGGCUCACCAAGGCUGUGAUCGGUAACUGGUCUGAGAGGACGACCAGUCACACUGGGACUGAGACACGGCCCAGACUCCUACGGGAGGCAGCAGUGGGGAAUAUUGGACAAUGGGGGCAACCCUGAUCCAGCGAUGCCGCGUGGGUGAAGAAGGCCUUCGGGUUGUAAAGCCCUUUAGGUCAGGAAGAAGUUGCCUUGAGGAAAUGCGAGGUAAUUGACGGUACUGACAGAAUAAGCACCGGCAAACUCUGUGCCAGCAGCCGCGGUAAUACAGAGGGUGCGAGCGUUAAUCGGAAUUACUGGGCGUAAAGGGCGCGUAGGCGGUUAGAUGAGUGUGAUGUGAAAGCCCUGGGCUUAACCUAGGAAGUGCAUUGCAAACGAUCUAACUGGAGUAGAUGAGAGGGUGGGUGGAAUUUCCGGUGUAGCAGUGAAAUGCGUAGAGAUCGGAAGGAACGUCGAUGGCGAAGGCAGCCACCUGGCAUCAUACUGACGCUGAGGCGCGAAAGCGUGGGUAGCAAACAGGAUUAGAUACCCUGGUAGUCCACGCUGUAAACGAUGAGAACUAGAUGUUGGUAGGGGAACCUAUCAGUAUUGAAGCUAACGCGAUAAGUUCUCCGCCUGGGAAGUACGGCCGCAAGGUUGAAACUCAAGGAAUUGA